GAUGAACGCUGGCGGCGUGCCUAAUACAUGCAAGUCGAGCGAACGGACGAGAAGCUUGCUUCUCUGAUGUUAGCGGCGGACGGGUGAGUAACACGUGGAUAACCUACCUAUAAGACUGGGAUAACUUCGGGAAACCGGAGCUAAUACCGGAUGAUAUUUUGAACCGCAUGGUUCAAAAGUGAAAGACGGUCUUGCUGUCACUUAUAGAUGGAUCCGCGCUGCAUUAGCUAGAUGGUAAGGUAACGGCUUACCAAGGCAACGAUGCAUAGCCGACCUGAGAGGGUGAUCGGCCACACUGGAACUGAGACACGGUCCAGACUCCUACGGGAGGCAGCAGUAGGGAAUCUUCCGCAAUGGGCGAAAGCCUGACGGAGCAACGCCGCGUGAGUGAUGAAGGUCUUCGGAUCGUAAAACUCUGUUAUUAGGGAAGAACAUAUGUGUAAGUAACUGUGCACAUCUUGACGGUACCUAAUCAGAAAGCCACGGCUAACUACGUG
rnacentral:rRNA from 1 species